UAUGCAUCUGUUGCACAGGUGAUCCAGCUCUUUUGCAUCAUUGGAUAUCCACUCAAGUAGUUGACAUGAACACAAUUGAGCAAUGCAGUGUCGAGAAGCUAAAAGAACUUUGUCAUUUGUGUAAUAUAGCAAUUUCAGGCAAAUCAAAGGCAAGAAUGCUCAUUGAUUUGCGGUCAUUGUAUGAAACCUUGCUGGUUGGUUCAUGUCCUUGCCAUGGCUUCACAAAAGUGCCAGGGCAUACUGGUGGUUUCUACCACAUUGUUUGUCGCCAUGGCGUAACCGCAGCUUCAAAGUUUCUGACUUUACAGGAGUCAGUAAGACAUGCUGCCGAUCUCUAUUUAUCAUUUAAGCAUAUUCCUCUUGUUUUUCUUUGCGACACGGCUUGUGGGUUUGUCAGGCACUUAGAGUGCCGGGUCAGUAAAGAAAUGACCGAACAGCUAUGGAA